CUAGGACAAUACCAAGGUUUUGAUCAAGAAAAAUUAAAGAUGGACAGAGAAAAACAGUUUUAGUACGACGGGACAGUAGACGGUCUACAGAGCAGUUAUCGGCAGUUCACGGGUUACUACGGACAUUUCCCGCGAAUGAACGAGUAGAUAAAGACGUUUAAGCCUCUCCUUAA
rnacentral:sRNA from 1 species